rnacentral:lncRNA from 1 species
AAGACGAGUAGCAACUACACAGAAGCCAGUGCCUGGGAUUCUGAGAUGCAGCCACAUCAUAAAGUUUCAUUACUCAAUUGCAGUAGAGAAAACCUCAAAGGAACCACUUCUAAUGGAAACUGCCUCAAUUCCUGGUCAAGUCUCACAGUCUAACCUGGAGGUGCUCUGAGAUGUGACUAAGUUAAGGAUUUUGAGAUGAAGAGACCAUCCUGAAUUAUCUGAGUGGGUCCUGAAUGUCAUCACAAGAAGCCUUAGAAGAGAGAAGCAUGAAAACCAGAAGAGGAGGAAGAGGCAACCGGGCCAUGAAGACAAGAGAUUAGAGUGAUGUGGCCACAAGUCAAGAAGUGCCGGCCUCCAGCAAAAAACUGGAAGUCAGGAGCAGGAUCUCUCCUAGAGCCUGUGGAGGGAAUGUAACCCUGCCAAUAACUUGAUUUUGGCCCAGAGAAACUGACUUCAGACUUCUGGCCUUCAGGAUGGCGAGAGAAUUAAAUCGCUGUUGUUUUUAGCCCAGUAUGUGGUAAUUUUGUUACAACAGCCACAGAAAACUAGUACAGUGGAUUUUUAGCAGUAGAAUUAAAUUAGCAGUGGAUUAAAGAGCAGUAGAAUUGUGAUUUUAUCAACACUUACUGGAUGGCAGAUUUCCUCUGCAGCAGAAGAGAAUAAAAUGUUGCCUAGGUGAUGCUGACCACCAAAACUUCUGCCAUGGACUCAGCAGUGUGAACAGACCCUGGGAAUCUAUGUACACAUAAAACACCAUGAACAUUUUGCAUUUUCUGAUUUGAACUGAAUAGGCGUUCUACUCUGUAAAUAUUUACAAAAAAACUAAAUAUAUAUUUAUGUUAACCCUUUGCUAGAGAUUUUUAAACAAACAAAAAAAUACCAGAUCUUAUUCACCAUUUUUGAUGUCAGUAAAGUGUGUUACGCAAAUUGGCUUCAAAAAUUAAAACCUGUAACAAACUUUGAGUCUUGAAAUGCAUGCUAUGUAUGAUCUUAAAAACAUGUAGGUAGGCUUAUUAGUUCAUAGAGGUUCAUAGUAUUUCAUAUGUUUUUCAGACUAUAUGUAGGGAAUUGCUGACAAAUCUUGGUAUCACUAAAUCCAUUAUCAUGUUCUGAAAUGUCACCAAAUUGAGCCUACAUAUUGUGAAGAGUGAGUGUAUGGCCAUAUAGUGUAUGGCCUCAAGAUUUUGUCUUAUAAUUUAAGUUUCAAUGUCCACACCUCAUCUAAAUUAGGGUACCAUUUGGACUAUCAUGUUUAAUAAAUUUACCACUAAGUAAUUACAUUAAAAACAAAUUUAUCUUAAAGAUGUAUAAAUUGUUUUCAUUGAAGAAGGUAGUUACUUUGGUAGCCUGUUAACAAAGCCCUGGGAAUUAUAAGACUGUAUUUUCAUGGAGGCAUACAUGUGUAGUAAUUGUAAAAUGGUUCUGUUUUCAUAUCUGGAUCUUUUAUAUGUGUGUCUGAAUUAAGAAAUUCCCAUAAUAAAAUAAAAUCUUAAUUUAGCAAAAUUAAUAUAUAGAAAGAAAUUUUAUAAAUCAUAGACUUUUAAGAUGAUCAAAUAACCUUGCUGAUCAUCUAGUCUCACACCUUUUUUGUAGAAGGCUAGACUAAAAUUCAUAAAUGUAAAUGAUCUCUCUAAAGGCAUAUGGCAAGCUAUUGGACACACCAGGAAUAAAACCCAGGUCUUGGCCGGGCGAGGUGGCUCACGCCUGUAAUCCCAGCACUU